rnacentral:tRNA from 1 species
UGGCGGUUUGGCCGAGUGGUCUAAGGCGAUUGACUCGAACGCUAUGGAAUCAAUUCCGUUCGUGAAAUCAAUUCUGUUCGCAGGCGUAGGUUCGAAUCCUACAGCCGUCGU